UUCAGUCCUAUUUUAUACACAAAAUAAAGCGGUGGAAAUUAUCUUUUAAAAGGAACCCACCAUUCCCAUUUUCUUGGACUAGACUAACAAGGAUUUUCCAUGUAGUCCCGGGUUUCGUCCCUCGCAUCACUUUUUCCUAACCGAACUUAACGCUGCUUUCUGUUUAUCCGAUGAAUUACACGCAUACAGGGGACCCAAACAGCCUCGG
rnacentral:lncRNA from 1 species